rnacentral:rRNA from 1 species
GUAGUCUGCAACCCGACUACAUGAAGCUGGAAUCGCUAGUAAUCGCGGAUCAGAAUGCCGCGGUGAAUACGUUCCCGGGUCUUGUACACACCGCCCGUCACACCAUGGGAGUCAGUAACGCCCGAAGUCAGUGACCCAACCUUAGGGAGGGAGCUGCCGAAGGCGGGACGGAUAACUGGGGUGAAGUCGUAACAAGGUAAC